rnacentral:rRNA from 1 species
UACGUAGGGUGCAAGCGUUGUCCGGAAUUAUUGGGCGUAAAGAGCUCGUAGGCGGUCUGUCGCGUCGGAUGUGAAAAUUCAGGGCUCAACCCUGGACCUGCAUUCGAUACGGGCAGACUAGAGUUCGGUAGGGGAGACUGGAAUUCCUGGUGUAGCGGUGAAAUGCGCAGAUAUCAGGAGGAACACCGGUGGCGAAGGCGGGUCUCUGGGCCGAAACUGACGCUGAGGAGCGAAAGCGUGGGUAGCAAACAGG